AGCUUUGCGCAGUGGCAGUAUUGUGGCCAAUGAGGUUUAUCCAAGGAGCAAUUAUUGCUAAUUGAAAACCUAUUCAAGGAAAUAUUUGAGUUGCUGAAAACUUUCCAAAUCACAAAG
rnacentral:snRNA from 1 species